UUUCUUUAGCCAAGAGAACGACGCGAUGGAUCUAGAAAUAUUUUUUAGAGAACUGUCGUUAAAGAUCGGUGAUGAAAUAACCGACGAUAUAAGAAGGACAUUUGAGGAGGAAGAGGUUAAAGGAGAGUACUUGAACCAGAUGUCAACAGAAGACAUGAAGGAUUUGGGGGUGGUGAAAAUUGGGCACCGAUUAGCUAUCAAAUCAGUCAUGCGGGGGAAGCUGGGGA